CUGAGCAUAAACCCCAGCCUGUGUACCUGAUCUCAUCAGAUCUCAGAAGCUAAGCAAGACUGGGCCUAGUUGGUACUUGGGUGGGAAAACCUGGGGAUGCUGGGU
rnacentral:rRNA from 1 species